rnacentral:rRNA from 1 species
GAUGAACGCUAGCGGAGGGCCUAACACAUGCAAGUCGAAUGCUGAUUUAUCGGCAUGGCAAACGGGUGCGUAACACGUGCUUUACCUGCCCCAAAGUAAGGAAUACCUGUGGAAACACAACUAAUUCCUUAUGUGCUCUACGGAGUAAAGAUUUAUCGCUUUGGGAGGGGAGUGCGGUCUACUAGAUAGUUGGUGAGGUAAUGGCUCACCAAGUCGAUGAUGGAUAGCUGGUCUGAGAGGAUGAUCAGCCACAAUGGAACUGAGACACGGUCCAUACCCCUACGGGGGGCAGCAGUGGGGAAUAUUGCACAAUGGAGGAAACUCUGAUGCAGCCACUCCGCGUGGAGGAUGACGCAUUACGGUGUGUAAACUCCUUUUCUGGAGGAAGACGACUGACGGUACUCCAGGAAUAAGCGACGGCUAACUACG